GUAAUUCUGCUGGUUACAGUAUAUGUUUAAUUUUUCAUUUUUUUUAUCAAAUCCUCUUCAGACGCAGUUCUUAUUAAUGUCUACCACUUUUCUUAACCCAUUAAUGUCCAAGGGGUCGUUAACGACUCAUGGAUUAGGAAUAACUCUAUCACAGUGCAAGUGGUAGAUGGUGCGACUUUUGCAUUGGUAUAAACAAACUAUGCUUCCUUCAUCGUUUUCCCAUUCACUCGCUACGCACAGAAGCAUAUGUUUCUAGGUGCUUGUAAACACCGACGAAAGUGAGAAAAGUGAUCAGGUGUACAAAUUAUUAUUGGAAGAGUGACUGAACUUCUACAGGAAGUGGAUAAUUUGGAUAUCAAUGAUCCACCAAUUCUUCCUGAUGAAAUAUAUACAUAUAACUUCCCCUGCAAAUAAUGGCAAAACUACAGACUGUGAUUCAGGAGACAAGGAGGACACAUAUUCUGCUAGAUUGAGCUGCCGACAGCUUAGAGCAGAAGUAGAACUCAUGAUUUGUAGAGAAAAAAUGUUAUCAUAGGCAUAAAAUGAAACCUAGGAGGGCUUCUUCCUUUUAUACUACUUUGAAUGGACCUCUAUUGAUAAUCUGCCACCAAGCAAGAUGCUCGCUUUUUAAAAAUACAACAACUAAGGCAUGUGGAAGUCGUGAAUUUUCACUACAUGAUAAUUGUUUUGACGAAUUUCAUGAAUUUGAAUAAUUUUUCGUUCUUUUUUCACUUCAAAUCAUAUGAAUAAAAAAAAAUAUUAUAAACUUUUUUUCAUCUUGUAAGUGCCCAAGGGGUCGUUAAUGACCCAUGGUCUAAACCAUAAAUUACAAGUCAAAGUUUUUUUUUAACAUUUUUCUAGGUCAUAUUCAAUCAUUUUCUGACAAAACCUUUAUCAUUAUGAAACGAGUUCAUAGUUCUGGGCAUUAUUGGGUUAAGUUGAGAUUUCCUGCUCUUAUUGCUUGAAUUUCUUGCUUCAUCUACUUGUUCUCCUUUUCAAUUGUUGCGCCUAUUUCUUCAGUAUUUUUUCAUUUUGUUUUACUAGUGUAUCUAAUUCGUUUUAAAUAUUCCAGGGUUUAUUUCGACCAACAUUUUUCUCGGCGAGUUUUUCUUGUUUUGCUCAUCAUCACUUUCCUCUUCACUGUCUUCUUCCUCAGACUCUUUAUUUCUUCUGGUUGACUAGCAUUAAUUCUUUGUCUCGCAGACAGGUGCAUUGUUCCGUAGCGUGGUACCUACCAAGACAUUCUCCAUUGCAGCGAACUUUGGAAAGAGUUUUACCCACGGCAAGCUAUGCAUUUUUGGAGUUUUUUUUUGCUUCAAUUCUUAUAUAAAGCAAAUGUACGUCUAUUGAAUCCAAGCUGUUUACACCUGUUAUCAGACUUGUCAUAUGUUUAAUCUCAUAUACUAUUCUCAGCUAAUUUUUGUUUGAUUAUAAUUACAAUUGAUAAUGAUUCACAUAGUGUUUUUUUGAGUAAAAAGUCAAAAAUCAAAUCACUUCAAUUAUAGCGAAUUACACUACUUCCACCAACUCAAACUUUUUAAAUAUAGAGAAAAAAACUUAUAGUUUCGAGAGUCGAAAUGAUCGUGACUAACUUCGAACGUUUCAGAUUAGGUAUUAUGAAUUAUUGCGACAACUGUCAUAACUGUUACAAUUGACACCUGAUUGACCGUAUUGAUUUUAGGGAAUGCCCACUCGCGUGAAGAAUUGAUAUUAUAUUUAUUUAUUUGGAGAUCAGAUUAAUAAUUUUUUAAA